GACGAACGCUGGCGGCGUGCUUAACACAUGCAAGUCGAACGGAAAGGCCCUGCUUUUGUGGGGUGCUCGAGUGGCGAACGGGUGAGUAACACGUGAGUAACCUGCCCUUGACUUUGGGAUAACUUCAGGAAACUGGGGCUAAAUACCGGAUAGGAGCUCCUGCUGCAUGGUGGGGGUUGGAAAGUUUCGGCGGUUGGGGAUGGACUCGCGGCUUAUCAGCUUGUUGGUGGGGUAGUGGCUUACCAAGGCUUUGACGGGUAGCCGGCCUGAGAGGGUGACCGGCCACAUUGGGACUGAGAUACGGCCCAGACUCCUACGGGAGGCAGCAGUGGGGAAUAUUGCACAAUGGGCGGAAGCCUGAUGCAGCAACGCCGCGUGCGGGAUGACGGCCUUCGGGUUGUAAACCGCUUUCGCCUGUGACGAAGCGUGAGUGACGGGAAUGGGUAAAGAAGCACCGGCUAACUACG
rnacentral:rRNA from 1 species